GCUGUGGGGAGGAGAAACAGCGCACCGUCUGGUCACUCAUCAGCUCCCUGCUCUUCCCUCUCGCUCCUUUCUGCAGCAGCACCGCGGCUGCCACAAGUCCACCAGCACCAUUCCCGCUUUCUUGCAGACUCCACAGCUCAACACCCUCCCUUCUAGCCUCCCAAAGAGACUUGGAUGAAGGAUUUCAAUCUGCUCUGCCUCUUGCUGAGAGCAUAGAAAGAGCAUGUGGGUCUCUACCUUCUCACAAACUUUGGGACACAGAUGUUUGGUUGUAAUUGUGCUCUCUAAUUGUGAUAUUGUGAGUUCAGCCUUGCAUCUUGCUCAUUUUCCUGUAAAGAACUCCAGAACUCUUGGAGAUACAAAUAAAAAUCCCAGCUCCAUCCCUUCUAGCUGUGCUGACUCCACCCACCUAUGACACUAGCUCAUUUUCAUCCCCAAAACAAUAGAUAUAUUUGCAGAGUCACCCAGGAGAUGUGUUGAGGAACAAGGAGAUACUUUUUACCAUAGCUUCUGGAGUCCUGGAGUUUUUUCUGCUUCUACAAGCAUUUCAGAGGACCUCCAUCUGCUUGUAAUUGGAGCCAGAUAAUGCUUUUUAAUGAUCUAAAAGCACUUUUCAAGAACGGGAUAUACUUUAAAUGGGUGAUACUUGCAGAAAUAUUUCUGGGCAGAAAGAAACCAUCAAGGGAUAACUGUUAAAUAAUUAAAGGACCUAACCAGUGGGAUGCUUUGCCUAGGAAACAAGGCGGUGUUUGAGAAAGUGAGGCCAACUCACAAGUGUUUGCCACAAAGGUUUAUACAACCCUUGUCCUUCACCUUUCAGGUGCAAAAUCCAAGUCUGGUUUUGGAGGACCUGUUGUUGACCUGAAGGAGGAAAAAGCCAAUUCUGAUACUUCUUGGGAUACCUCCUGACAGCUUUUCAGUAUAUAGUCCCCAGCUGAAUUUGUGGUCUCAUCAGCAUCCCCAAACCCUGCACAUCCAUGCUUCUGGUGACACUUCCAGCAAAGCUGCAGACAUGCAAGAGAGACUGAGUCUGAGCUAGAAUCCUACCAGAAAUUUUGCGCCUGACUCCCUUAUGCUACAGAGAAAUGAGUUCUCUACAAAGCCGCUGUCGUGGUUUGGACAGGGAGAAGCUCCACACAGGGUGAUUUUUCACCAACUUCUGAAUCACGUCAAGAUACAAAAUCAAUCUGUCUGCUGCUCAUUCACUGCUGCUACAUUUUUUCCCUGGUGUUUCUGCAAACUUCACCCAGUGCAGAAAAAGCACAUUAAUAAAAGCCAAAGAGCCUG